rnacentral:rRNA from 1 species
UACGUAGGUGGCAAGCGUUACUCGGAAUUACUAGGCGUAAAGCGCAGGUAGGUGGUUCGGUAAGUCCGUAAUGAAAUCUCCCGGCUUAACUGGGAGGGGUUUAGGGAUACUGCCGGGCUCGAGUGUGGUAGAGGUGACUGGAAUUCCCGGUGUAGCGGUGAAAUGCGUAGAGAUCGGGAGGAACACCUAUGGCGAAAGCAGGUCACUGGACCAAUACUGACGCUGAGCUGCGAAAGCUAGGGGAGCAAACAGG